rnacentral:rRNA from 1 species
UACGAGGGGGGCGAGCGUUGUUCGGAAUUAUUGGGCGUAAAGGGCGCGUAGGCGGUGCGGUAAGUCACCUGUGAAACCUCUAGGCUUAACCUAGAGCCUGCAGGCGAAACUGCCGUGCUGGAGUGUGGGAGAGGUGCGUGGAAUUCCCGGUGUAGCGGUGAAAUGCGUAGAGAUGUGGAGGAACACCGAUGGCGAAGGCAGCCCCCUGGGCUGAGAUUGACGCUCAGGCACGAAAGCGUGGGGAGCAAACAGG